UUACUUUAAAAUAAGGAAAAAAAAUCAGGAACCAAACGUUACCUAAUACAUAAACCCUUAAAUUUGACAGCUCGGGUUUGUUUACACUUUUUUCAACUGCUAAAAGUACAACGUAUAAGCUUUUUGGUUAGGCUUGGGUAAGGCCUACUCGAAUGACUAUUUAAACUGCUUUGACGAUUUAGGUCUUACAAUUAUAUUAUGCAGUUAAAAUGUGAAGCAAAGCAUAUAACUAUACAACCAUGUCGGUUUUAAAUACUACCGGGACACAAACAGAGUAGAAAACUGGCAUACUUAA